UCAUGUGAACGCUCCUAUUACUUUCUGUAAAUGAGUUCCUUUUGGCCGAUUCAUAAAAUUGCGCAUUGGUUAUUUAACAAUGAACGGGUGAAUGACAAUUUUAUUAAAUCCUAAUUUGUGUUAUGUGUUUUUCCAUCGUAAAAUCCUAUAUGAAUCAUAUCGUAUUUGGUUACAUUUAAAGCUGCUUUGUAUGUAUCAAACGCGGCUUCGGCUAUCAAGAUGAUCUCGUGAAGCGAUGAAGUCCAGGAAGUUUAUGAUCGGAGGUAGACCAGUAUUUUCUAUAUGGUUUAAACCAGUUCUGAAUUAGGCGAACGGGUUUCCAUUCAACAUGGGAAACGGAAAAGAUGCAAGUAUACCUCCGAAAGAAGAAAAUACAAGACUGAAGAAACUUGUGUGCUGUUCGAAAUGCCAGGUCAACUAUAAGAGCGCUUUGUUUAGACCAUGCUGCCAUCUUAGUAUGUGCAUGAUCUGUGCGUUUGGCUUAGAGUAUUGUCCAGAAUGCAACUCAACUAUAGAGGAAAUAAUCAAGGUUAUUCUGACACGUAAGUAUAACUAAAUCUGCAGAAUUAUCGAUGAAAAAACGUUUUAAAUUGUAUAAAGAGCAUUUAUCUAAAACUGUAAUGCAGUUCCGUUGUUAAAUUGUUAAACAAAGGAAAAGAAGUAAUGCAACUGAAAUGUAUUGCCAAAUCAAAUACAUUACCCAGUUCCUUCAUCAAAUGUCUUGUAUUAAGUAAGUAACAUUUUCUUUUAGCGUUAAUCCAAACAAUAGUCAGCGACAACGCACGUUUGAAGUCAAAACUAUACUGUGGCAAAUGCAAGGUUGAACCCAGUAACGUGCUCUUCUUCCCUUGCCAACACCAUCUCUUGUGUUUGGACUGUGCCAAGGACUUGGAGGUGUGUUGUGCUUGCUCGGCGGAGAUUCGUCGCACCAAGCAGACGUUUAGGUCCUAGGUAGCAUUAACGACAGUAGAUUAUCUUUUUCAUUUUAUCAUUACAUUGUAAGAGAAAACACUGAUUUAAGUAGCCAAAUUAAUUCAUCAUAAGUAAAUUAUAUUAAAUAGUUAUUUUUACAUCACAGUAGUAGACAAAUCUUGAUAAAAAUAAUGUUGUUUAUUUGAUAAAAUGUUUUCUUUAAAUUAAUUAUUGCAAUUACAUACGACUCCACAACCUAUAUUCGUUCUUUUUUUAGGUUUGAUUGGCUUUUCUCGUUUUGUGAUUUGUUAUAUAACAAGUUUGUAUAGCACGUUUAAGUUUGAUAAUUCAUUUUAACUAUCAUUGAUUUCGUUAUUUGAAGGGUCUGUAAGAUCGUGUUUUCUUUCAUUAUAAUGAUAAGCUUUUUAUUGUUGUUGUUCAUAAAAAUAGGAUGAUGGGUGUACAUGAUUAUCAGUUAACGGAAUAAUCCAAACAAUCUGGAAGUGGUUUAAGUGACACUGUAUGUGUCCUUCAUAUAUACUACAAAAUCAAACCAAUAUAUGUAUAUCUAGUAUUUCAAGUAUCGCUUUUUACAUAACCUAUUUUUGUUUUAUAACGGUAGCAUAGUUUCGCUUUUAAAAAGAUAGCAAAUGUUCGGUGUUCGAUACUUCAUAAUGCAAUCCCUGCCACAAUGUAAAUUAAUUUUGCUACUUCAUAUAUAGUUCUUGUCAAAUUAUAAAGUUCAUGAGAGUGGACAAUAUAAUUAUGCAACUGCAUUGAUUAUUAACCUUAUUAUUUAAAAACAAGUUGCAUUUCUUGAUUUCAUGCAAUUUUUGAUUAAUUCCUGACGUACUUACAACUUUACCAAUCAGUAUGUAAUGUGUUGUCCACGUAUUUAGUUACAACAAGAUAUGUUUAAAAACUGAUGUCAGGUGAAUACCGUUGAAACGAAUUGCUGCGUGGAGGUGUUUUCCAGUACGUUUCUUUUUAAUGUGUGUGCAUAUUAAAUUAUUAUCAGCCUUCAAAGAAACAUAGGUAAAUUGAGUUGCACGUGUACGUCAAGGGUGGAAUUUCGCUCAGUGUAUGGAUCAGUGACAUGGUCGCUCCAAAAUCCAUUUAGUUCCACUCCAUAUCAUUUUUGCUUACUAUCAUGUUAAAUGGUAAAAUGGUAUAACUUUGUGAAAAGAAGACACUUUAAUAUUUUAAGGUCAAAGAUCCAGGUCAAAAGAGAUUUUUUAAAGUUAGGUACAAUAUUCGAGUACCAUAAAUAUCUUUAGAUCCGAUAAGUGAACGUUGAUAAAUGAUAAAACGUCAUGUAGACAUUGCUGCGUGCAUUCAUAGGUACUCCUUAAGUAAAAUCAUUUCUAUUGCUAGCUGAUGUCUGAGAGAUAACUGUACAUAUUCAGAAUUAACAAUUUAUAAUAAAUGUUUAUAUUGUUGCUCGACGCACAUAUCUACAAACAUUUCUUGUAAUGUGUUGUUUAUUACUUAAUUAUGCAAUUUCAUGUUUAAUGCACAUGUGGCUGUACUUUCCUAGCCUGACAUUUAAUAAAUGUGUGUUUUAAAAAAUUAAGCGAUCAGAUACUUAAUUUUCUGAAUUUAUUUCAAACUACCGUCAUUGGCAAUAGGAGUUUAUUUUUGUUUCAUACUUUGUAUUCGAUGCAUUAAAACUUAUUCUUAAUUGCGCUCAACUAUUUUCAAAACUUAUAUUUAUAAUUACUCAACGAGUGUAUUUACGUUUUGCUAUAAUGGUGUUAAAUGUAAUUGUCACACACCAUAAGUUAAAGAGAAACUCUGUUAAUUUAUAGUACGACAACACUCACAGACCAUACGUGCCAUAUAACGCUCAAAUUACACAGUUUGUAGGACAAGUACCAUGUGGAAAUAUAAACUUUCUAUACAAUGCCAUAACACUCCAUAGCUGUUAAUUAUUGUUUUUUUUUUAUAUAAUAUUUUAUGGUUGUUGAUUAUUUACUUGCCAUAACACACAACUGUGUGUAUUUUGCAUAAUAUUUGUAAUUAGCCUAAACAAUUCGUCAAAAUUUUGUUGUGUAACGUCUUAUCAAGUGAAACGAAUUUAUUUAGCAUAAUGGUUGAAGAGAAGUUGUACCGUCAUGGUGUGAAAUCUAAUGAAGCGAUGUGAUAUUUUCCAUUGCCGAAUGAUUUUAAAAACAAAUGUGUUUAAUACGCCAGAAGAAGAAAUGCUUUCGUGUGAGUCUGUGACGCUUAAUGAUGUAUAUUUUUAUUGCUGAUACGAUUACAGAAUCAUUGCGUAUAUAAUGUCGGGUCGCAAUCUCUCUUCCCGUAUAUGCUUAUACAGUCAAGUGUGUGUUUUCGUGAUACUUUUAUACUUGUAUGUUUUUUUUAUACUUUUAUAGUUGUAAAUUAUACUGUUAUAUGUACGUAUAAGAUUGUAAUAAAGAAUUUUACAGCUGAAACACGUUUUUCUAGAACGAGAAACAGGAGUUAGGUGAACGGUUUUGACUCUAAUGUUCUUAUUUUUAUAUCAUGUAUGCCCGAAAUGGUAAUA